rnacentral:lncRNA from 1 species
GAUUUCAGUGAGAAGCAGCGACGGAACCAACUUCCCCUCGCGAGCAGCAUUUUCAUUUCCAUGUCUCAUUUCAUUUCAUUGAUUCAAUUCACUUGACGAGAUUAUUGGUUGAGUGAGAGAAUUUCAGUUGGUAUCAGAGCGUGGUCACUUCGAGGAAUCUCACGAUUACCGGAGAAGAAGAUCAGUCACAAGAAAUUGAAGAAUCGAAGGGAUGCUAAAGGGGAAAUCGGCGAUGACUACGUCUCAAUCGUCAGACGGGUACUUCCAUGGUCGUGCACCAUGGUUCGAUG